rnacentral:tRNA from 2 species
GGGUUAAUAAAAAUCCCCAAAAACA